GAAAAAGCAGGGUCUGUUUUCCUCAUAGACAGGCCUCUCGUAAACUUUAGGAAAAUUAUGUUCAUUGUUAUUGGGUGAGCUUUUAGACAUUCUUUGUGAAAAAAGGCUCAGUAAACAAUGGAACAUCA